rnacentral:lncRNA from 1 species
GGCGCCAGCAAAAUACGAAGUCCGCCCCAUAUGAUUUUUGUUUACAUACAGAUUGUAUUUGAGGGGACUUGUAUUCCCUCCGUUUCUCUCCCAUUCCUUUUCUUUUCUCUCCUAUUCUUCUCUCCCACCCAAUGCGUUAGGGUUUUGGGGAGGUCAUGCGGGGAAAGAGAAGGGGACGAUGUUGGCUCUGGAAGCGGCGGAGUGGCGGAUCAGCCGUGCGGAGAGGAAAACUAAACUCCAAGCGUUUAAUCGCUGAAGAAGAAUCCCACCAUGAUGGUUUCCAUGUAGUUUUCAAUCUGAAUCCCAAAGAAUAAGAUCGAUCCGUCGAGAUCCGCUGCUCGAGCGGCGCCUCCUUCUUCUUUCUCCCGAUCCAUCACAAUUCUCUCCUACCAAAGAAAAAUUGAGAAAUUCUUUGUGCACCGCCUGCGGUCCGGCAAAGAUGACAUGGAGCGCACUGUUAGGGUUUUGUGGAGGUCAUGGGGGAAAGAGAAGGGAACGGUGUUGGCUCUGGAGCGGCGGAUCCAAGCGUUUAAUUGCUGAAGAAGAAUGACGCCAUGAUGGUUUCCAUGUGGUUUUCAAUCUGAAUCCCAAAGAAUAAGAUCCGCUGCUCGAGCCGCGCCACCUUGUUCUUUCUCCCGAUCCAUCCCAAUCCCACCCUGCCUUGUGAUGGGAUCUGAAGGCCCCUUCUCUCCUACCAAAAUCAAUCCUUUUCAGUCGUCUGAGGAUUGCGUUGUAGGCAAACUAUGAAGCCGGUCCCAUAUGAUAUUUAAUAGUGCGCGCCCCAUAUGAUUUUUGUUCGAGGCCAUGGAGGGAAGAGAAGGGAACGGUGUUGGCUCUGGAAGCAGCGGAGUGGCGGAUCGGCCAUGUGGAGACGAAAACUAAACUCCAAGCGUUUAAUCGCUGAAGAAGAAUCCCACCAUGAUGGUUUCCAUGUAGUUUUCAAUCUGAAUCCCAGAGAAUAAGAUCCGCCCAGAUCCGCUGCUCGAGCUGCGCCUCCGUCCUUCCGAUCCAUCCCAAUCCCACCCGGCCUUGUGAUGGGAUCUGAAGGCCCCUUCUCUCCUACCAAAAUCAAUCCUUUCCUCUUCCUUUCCUCUUUUGCUCCCGUGUUUUUUUUUUUUAAAUAAUUUUCUGAUUAUAUUUGGUUGUUUUCAAGUUUCGAAUUUGAGAUCGUUUAUCGAGUUUGCUAAGCUGAAACCCUACUUUUUUUAAAAAAAUUUUUAUAUAUACUUUCGACGUUUUGAAAUCGGGAAUAUUUCCUGUUGGAUCAACCACUACGAUUCGAAGCCCUAACUUUUUCUUUCGAUUUUUUUUUUUAGUACUAUUUUUUACUGUUGGAAUUGAGGUAUGUGCAUAUGACGGCUUUUGCCACCCAAUUUUUUUUUAGAUCGAAUUAAGAACAUGUUGUUUCUGCCUACCAAUCUUUUUGGUUUGCUUAAUGAGAUUUGUCUAUUGCAGAUUGCUGUGAUUGUAUUUUAUAUUAUUAUUUUUUCCCCCCUUAUCGGCGGAUAAUGACAGAGUUGGGUUCUACAAGUAGACUGUAUGUUUAGAAUGACAUUUCGAUUAAAAAUUGUAGUUACAAAUGUAUGUUUGGCCCCCUUUUUUUUUUAAUUUAAUUUUCAGGGCACAGAUGUUAGGUUAUGUUCUGAUUGGCAGACGCGUCUUUCAGUUCAUGUAAACUGGGCUACAACCUACGGCUCAAUGGUUGCAUACAUCUUAUGGGUUCCGCGUUGGAACCCUGAGAGUUGUUCGAACCGUUCAUUCUUCAACCAUUUUUAUGAAUUGAUCUGGGGGCAGAGGGGUUCUGAAGAUCUUUCAGUACCUCGUUUUGAAGAACAUGUUUGGUCCAACCCUAGAUUUUUUUUCAUCUGUUUGGUUUGUGAAAAACUAAAUUUCUGGUUGGUGGUCAACUUUGAUUUAGUUUCCGGUCUGUCAGUUCUUAUUUCCACUGUGCAUCUAUUUAUUUUUUUUAAUAUCUACUUUAUACUUGCAAGCAGAGGUCACUAGGCUUUGGCGUGUUUGAGUCACCAGAAUUAAUUUUUGCUUUCUUCUCGUUGUAGCAUGUUAUGCUUUAAUUUUUUUUAAUUUCCAUCUCAAGAUAAUAGAGUGGCUAUAUUUAUGCAUGCAUUAUCCAACUAACAAAGCAUCAAUUUAUGAAUCUGAAAUUGUAAUAAUGUUUUGAUUUUGGGGUUGUUUUGAAUGGUGUCGUACUUAAAACUAAGCAAAUGGAAUAGGUUGUAUAUAUUGUUAUCAUAAGAAAGAGUACUUCAUUAUUUUGUGAAAAGGGUUGGUUAGCUGGUUUUUAGUCCCUUUUAAUGGUACAACGGACUAAUCUUAGUAUUGACUCUUUUUGAAAUUGUUUUGUUGUUUUGAUCAUUAAACAUACAUGGAUAAUCAUUUUUAGAUUUUUGUAACAUUCAUGGAAGACAUGAUCUGAGAGCAGGUCUCAGAAUAUUGGGGAUUUUCAGACAUUAAUUUGAGUUUUAGUGAGCUUUUACGUCUAAGGUAAUUUUCAGAAUUAAAUUGUAUUUGCUGUUAUAGUGGCAGUGUAAGAAUCUUUAUUUGCACAUCAUAGUUUGAGUCACCUGCUGUCACAGCCUGAUUCCAAUUUACUGUGGCAUGUCUACUUCAUUUUUUACUUUGAAGGGUUGUGAUUUGUAAAUUUGAUCUUUCCUUUUCAUAUCUUUCAAUAGUUUGGAUUUUUAAUAUCUGUAAAGUUACCAACUCAGUCCGCUUAGACCUGGAUAUCAAAUGUAAAUUUGUCAUGUUAUUGGGGAAUGUUGCUUCAUUUUCAAUUGUUGUAAUUGAUUUCAAUGGUUCUGAUUUUUUAUACCUGACUUUGCAUGCCAAUUUGCUCCAAGUCAUAGUAAGCUCUUUUUUCAGUUUAGUAUGUGAACAGACAUGGUUGUAUUUAGGACAGAAGUCGGUUUGACUCCAAGUGUUCUAAUGGCCAGUCUCUGUUUACUUAAUUGAAGUAACUUAUCAUCAUUUUGGUUGUAUGACUCCAUCAAUGUUUUGCCCAACACAAGUUUUAUCUAAAGAUUUGUUCAAGGUGCACGUGAUAUUUAAUGAUCACCUAAGUUAUCAUUUGUUUUGAUGGUGUACAUAGUACUCAGGUGUUUGAAAAAUUAUUUUCUAUACUUCUGUACAAUAAGCCGAAGAUUGUCCUUAUUGGUUCUAUGCAAGUUUUGCUGUUUUUGAACCGGAGCCUUUAGCAGAACAUAUUAAAUAGCUGAUCUGAUGGUAUUCCUCUAUUAGUUAAAGGUAUUGAAGGAAUUACUUCGACGGUUAAAAAAAAAUAGCUUGCAGACAUAUGAGGAUAAUGUUUUUCUUUUACUGUUGCUUCUCUUGUUUGCAGUUGCCCGAUUUUGAUCUUCUCGUCUCUAUGAAAGUGGACUGAGUGAAAUACAUUAUCAAGCCUUUAUGCACGUCUCUAAACCGGCUGUUUUACAGCUGGAGUUUCUGCAUUGCUACAGAUGGCUUUUUCUUUUUUUAAGCAAAAAAAAAAAGCAUCCUAUUCUAUUAGAAAAAGAAAAUUCAGUGGUAUUGCUAGUGUUUGGCAUACAGGUAAUGUUGCAAUAAAAGUACUAGAAAUUUGAUUGACAUGUUUGGUAUGAUAAUCAUAUUAUCGGUAAUGUGAAAUCAAAUUCCCAAAAUACCUCCAAUAAUUUUGCCCCGUUGCUCUUCUUUUUCACUGAUGAGAAGUAACGGGAGUGAUGUGAGUGUGGUGGUGACUCGGAGAAGUGGUAGGCCGAGGGGUGUUCGGAAUCGCGGGCACUGGGUGGGGGGGGUGGGAGGCGGCGGGCGCAUAUGGAGCCGUGGGGGGUGGUGGAGACGGGCGUGGAGGAGCCGUGAGGUGGUGGUGGAGGACAAGGGCAGAGAAGCCACGGGUAGGCAAAGGGAGAUGGAGGAGCUGCGGGCUGGGAGUGCACAUGUAAGGGAGAGGGUUGGGUUAUGGGUUUUGUGUGNNNNNNNNNNNNNNNNNNNNNNNNNNNNNNNNNAGAUGGAGGAGCUGCGGGCUGGGAGUGCACAUGUAAGGGAGAGGGUUGGGUUAUGGGUUUUGUGUGAUUUUUUUUUUAGAGAGAAUUUUGUCCAAAAUUUUUAUUGCAACAUUGCUAAAGUGGUAAUCUGAAUAGCCACCCCUCCCUAAGACAAUUCAGAUUGCCUCCAAUGAGGUAAUUUGGAUUGCUAAGACAAUCUGGAUCACCACCCAAAAAGCAUCCCAAACGUAGUUAUUCAGAUUACUACAUUAAAUUGUCAGCAAUCUGGAUAGAUUGCCAGCUACCAAAUGCAACCUUAAGGUUUUUGGGAGGUCAUGGGGAAAAGAGAAGGGAACGGUGUCAGCUUUGGAAGCGGCAGAGUGGUGGAUCGGCUGUAUGGAGACGGAAACUAAUCUCCAAGCAUUUAAUCGCUGAAGAAGAAUCCCACGGUUUCCAUGUAGUUUUCAGUCCGAAUCCUAGAGAAUAAGAUCCGCCCCGAUCUGCUGCUCGAGCGGCACCUCCUUUCCCCCGAUCCAUCCCAAUACCACCCAGCCUUGUGAUGGGAUCUGAAGGCCCCUUCUCUCCUACCAAAAUCAACCCUUUUCUUUUCUUUUCCUUUCCUCUUUCGCUUAUGUUUUUUUUUUUU